GGAAUCGUGCCUGAAUAAAGGGCUACUUUGAUAGAGUAGAUUAUGGGGAUUAAUACCUCCCCCGACUCCU
rnacentral:tRNA from 1 species